rnacentral:tRNA from 1 species
GCGAUUAUAAUUUAAUGGUAAAAUCGCCGUCUUCUACACGGAAUUUGUUGGUUCGAGUCCGACUAAUCGUA